AGUAAAUAGAUACCCCCGGUAGUCCACGCCGUAAACGAUGAGUACUAGGUGUAGGAGGUAUCGCUCCUUCUGUGCCGCAGUUAAACACAAUAAGUACUCCGCCUGGGAAGUACGGUCGCAAGAUUAAACUCAAAGGAAUUGACGGGGGCCCGGCACAAGCAGCGGAGGCAUGUGGCUUAAUUACGAAGCAACGCGAGAACCUUACCUAGACUUGACAUCUCCUGAUAGUGUAGAGAUACAUGAAGCCCUUCCGGGGUCGAGGAAGACAGGUGGUGCAUGGUUGUCGUCAGCUCGUGUCGUGAGAUGUUGGGUUAAGUCCCGCAACGAGCGCAACCCUUACUUACUAGUUGCUACCAUUAAGUUGAGCACUCUAGUGAGACUG
rnacentral:rRNA from 1 species